UUUUGGCUGAGGGGAACUGAACUGCUCUGUCACCCCUAAGGGCCCUUUGCGGCAUGACAACAGGAGGAACUUCAUAAUGCUGCUGCGCACAGAGGAGAAUAUGAAAUGUGUCAUGGCCCAAUGCACCCGCCCAGCAGCAAGUGUACCCUGGUACAGGCCAGCAGGAGCUUCUCUGUCCUCAAAAUUAUUGCUUAUUUGGUUAAAAAAUGGUACCGAGAGACAGGCACUGAAGGUUCAAAGGCUCUGAACAUCAGAACCAGACAACCCAAACCCCUCUUGUAGCCUCUGCAGAGAGCCAGAUGUUUCAAAAGUACAUCACUUCCCAUCCUAAGUGCAACAGCUAAAGCUGUUCAUGCCAGUUGUGCCCUAGUAGUGCCUCUUUUCUUCCAAAAACAAAUAUGUUAUAUUAACAUAUAACAAUUAACAUUUACUGUGUUACAUAACAGAUAACAUUUAC